ensembl:lncRNA
AAAACAAAACUGAUCCAUUGGAGUGAAUAGAGAUGACGCGACUGAUGCAUUGUAGUGUAUCAAAUCCCCCCACGGCCGAAAAAGUAGGAGGGCCGCCUCUACAACGUCACACUGGAUGCUCAUAUUCGCAGAAUUCCAGUAAACUAGGUGCCACAUGAGUUCUACUGACACGUCCAAAUAUCAAACUGCAAUAUUUACUUGGGGAGUUUACACUCCACUGAUUAAAAAGGCAUUUUUGAAAUGUUUUUGGGAAAUACAUCACUUGAACCAACUCUGCAAAAGAGGAGCUCUGAGGAAAAUGAGUGUUAGGGACACACUAAGUAGAAGAAAAAUAUUUUCAUUUUGAAGGGUUUUUUGUUUUCUUUGGGUUUGUCAACCAAAAAACAAACAAACAAAAAACUGGUGCUCCAGAGCGGAAGGAGAGCAGACAGGAGGAUGAGUACACCCCCCAGGACUUGGGAUUUGGGCAUUGAAGCCAAUGGUGGGUGUGAAACAUGAAGGUGUCAUGGAAUCUUUCCUCAUUGAAUGAAAAAAUUGCAUCCCACAGUCUGACACCCUGAAGAUCUUACAAGCUCGAUGCAGGAUCUGUGUUUAUAUCUCAAUCCAGACGAAGACAGCUGAAUCUGGAAAGGACGUCACUCUGCCAUGUCAAGCUCCACACAACAACUUGAUAGGUGUAAAGUGGCGCAAAGCUGACCUGGGGGAAGAAUAUGUCUAUUUGAACCGCAGAGGGCAACCUCAGCCACAAGGGCAACAUCCAUCGUUUAAGAACUGGGUGGAUCUGCAGGACAGACAGAUGAAAUAUGGAGACCUGUCUUUGACCCUUAAGAAUGUGACGAGGAGUAACACUGGAACAUACGAGUGUCUUGUCUUCGA